rnacentral:sRNA from 1 species
AACAAAGUAUCUAAACAAAAUACAUAAGUGUACUCAAACUGAGUAGAAUCGUCGAUUAAACUUCCUUCCCCUUUUAAAAAUUAAAAACAGCAAAUAGUUAGAUGAAUAUAUUAAAGACUAUUCGUUUUAUUUCCCAGAGCAGCAUGACUUCUUGGUUUCUUCAGACUUGUUACCGCAGGGGCAUUUGUCGUCGCUGUUACACCCCGUUGGGCAGCUACAUGAUUUUUGGCAUUGUUCAUUAUUUUUGCAGCUACCACAUUGGCAUUGGCACUCAUGACCUUCAUUUUGGAAGUUAAUUAAUUCGCUGAACAUUUUAUGUGAUGAUUGAUUGAUUG